AACGAACGCUGGCGGCAUGCCUAACACAUGCAAGUCGAACGAGACCUUCGGGUCCAGUGGCGCACGGGUGCGUAACGCGUGGGAACCUGCCCUUAGGUUCGGAAUAACUUCCCGAAAGGGGUGACAAUACCGGACAAUGUCUUCGGCCCCAAGAUUUAUCGCCUCUGGAUGGGCCCGCGUUGGAUUAGCAAGUUGGUAGGGUAAAAGCCUACCAAGGCGACGAUCCAUAGCUGGUCUGAGAGGAUGGUCCGCCACACUGGGACUGUGACACGUCCCAGACUCCUACGGGAGGCAGCAGUGGGGAAUAUUGGACAAUGGGCGAGAGCCUGAGCCAGCAAUGCCGCGUGAGUGAUGAAGGCCUUAGGGUUGUAAAGCUCUUUUACCCGGGAUGAUAAUGACAGUACCGGGAGAAUAAGCGCCGGCUAACUCCGUG
rnacentral:rRNA from 1 species